rnacentral:rRNA from 1 species
CGGAGGGCUAGCGUUGUUCGGAAUUACUGGGCGUAAAGCGCACGUAGGCGGACCGGAAGUUGGAGGUGAAAUCCCAGGGCUCAACCUUGGAACUGCCUUCAAACUAUCGGUCUGGAGUUCGAGAGAGGUGAGUGGAAUUCCGAGUGUAGAGGUGAAAUUCGUAGAUAUUCGGAGGAACACCAGUGGCGAAGGCGGCUCACUGGCUCGAUACUGACGCUGAGGUGCGAAAGCGUGGGGAGCAAACAGGAUU